rnacentral:rRNA from 1 species
CCUACGGGUGGCAGCAGUGGGGAAUAUUGGGCAAUGGGCGCAAGCCUGACCCAGCAAAGCCGCGUGAAGGAAGAAGGCUUUCGGGUUGUUAACUUCUUUUGUUAGGGACGAAGCAAGUGACGGUACCUGACGAAUACGCCACGGCUAACUACGUGCCAGCAGCCGCGGUAAUACGUAGGUGGCAAGCGUUAUCCGGAUUUACUGGGUGUAAAGGGCGUGUAGGCGGGACUGCAAGUCAGAUGUGAAAACCACGGGCUCAACCUGUAGCCUGCAUAUGACACUGUAGUUCUUGAGUACUGGAGAGGCAGACGGAAUUCCUAGUGUAGCGGUGAAAUGCGUAGAUAUUAGGAGGAACACCAGUUGCGAAGGCGGUCUGCUGGACAGCAACUGACGCUGAGGCGCGAAAGCGUGGGGAGCAAACAGGAUUAGAUACCCUAGUAGUC